rnacentral:lncRNA from 1 species
UUUCAAACCUUAAUUCGACAUUAAAAUAUGCACUAAUAUAGAAUGAGUUCAAGUUGGAAACACAACCUACAAUCUUACAUAUCCUCCAUGUUGUUUCAUUUCUUGUUUAUUAGAUAUAAGUAUAUUAGUUACAUUAAUGUAAGAAAAUCCCAUCACUAUUGUCCUUAUGCACCAGUACAAUAAGGUACUAAAGGAGUUGUGAUCCUCUACAAUCACUAUGAAAGUUUCAAAAGGAGAGAGAAAGACACUAUGAAUAAAAUAAUAGUAUUUUAUUCGCAAUGUCAAACUCUCUCCUAGUAGAGCUUUUCAAUGACCGGAGAGGAUCCACACCAAAACUAGAGAGGUGGAUACAAAAACUACAUCGGCAUAGUAGUAACAGUAGAAGAAAUACAAAGAGAGAUUUGUUGUAGAAUCUCAGACAAAGGCGGUGCCAAAAAUGACUGAGAUAUUCAUCACUCGGAAUGAAAAAGUCUCUUCUUCCUCUAUUAUAAUGUCUCCGUUGACCUGAGCUUAUUUUACACAUGUAUCCAAACACAUACAGAAACAUUUAUUGCAUCUGAAUUGAUGCUUCCUUUUUGCGCAAGGCAUCUACCUGGCCUCAUAUUGUUUGUUCAACUUGUUCUUGUUUAUCGGCUUGUUGGCUUCUAAGGAAUUCUAGAACCGAUNNNNNNNNNNNNNNNNNNNNNNNNNNNNNNNNNNNNNNNNNNNNAAUUGAAGGUAAUUUCAUGAUCUUAUGUUCAAAUAGAGCAUAAAAUGAAAUGUGAUAGACUUAAUUUACUUCAACAACUUACCUGUUGCUCAAGUCCACUUGCUUCAGAUUUCAAUGUAAGUGAUUCCAGUAAGUCUAUGGCUUCUUGAAAUCCAUCACUAGCCGACUUUUCAUCCCCUAGACUUUUGUCUACAUCAGCUACUUUUGCGAGAGAAACGGCAACAUCUAAGACCUAAAUUGUUAUAAACAAUGAAAAAGGUUAAUUUCAAAAGAUUCAAUUAACCUAACUAGUAAAUGGAGAUGAUGAUUUUCUUUACAUGGUUCAGUUUUUUCAAAAGAGAAACAAAAUCAAACUGAAAAAUAUCCAUAGUUAUCAAGAACUCGUGUAAUGAAGAAACUAGCGGUGCAUUUGAUUUGUGGAAAUGUCAUGUUUCCUUUUCAUUUUUCACUAACGUGUAAAUAGGCACUAACGUAGCUAGUGAUUCUUGUGCUAUGUCUAGAAAUGAAUCUACCUAACAUGAUUGGGCACGUAAGCUAGUAAGGAACAGAGCAUAACAUAAGAGUUAUAGUAUCAUGGUUUUUAAUUUGCUUUCCUCAAAAAACAAAAUUGUAACUGCUACAAGCCUACAACAUAUUGCUUUUCAAGAUCCCAACAAUUCCACCACUGCAAUUGCAUCAGCUUAACCAUAGUCGAUUCCAUUUUUAGCUGAUCCAAAACAAAAGCAUAACAAAUAGGCCAUUUCAUUUUGUUUUAUAUUUUAUAAGUAAACCAAAUGCUAAAUUAAGCAUAUAAAUAGAGACUCGUCAUUCAUCAGCUAUCAAAAUAUGGCAAACACAAAAAUGCUAUCUCUUCAUCAAUUCACAACUAUCACUACCACAAUAACAAUUAACUAACACCGCUAUGAUAAAAUAAAAUAAAAAUCAUCAUUCAAAAUCUAUGAAACGCCGAUACUAACACUAGACACAAUAUGACAUUCGACACAAGUUAUAAUGGGAGAAACCAUAAGUAAUUUAAUAUAAUCACAAGUGUUAAUCUCACACAUCAGACGCACCUUCAACAUGAAGUGUCAAUUCUACAUAACUCGUGAUCAAUCAUCAUCAUCAUGAUCGCUCUCAUCACUAAAAUACCCACCUAUCUUCCCUUUCUUCUUCUUCUUCCUAUUCUUGUCAACCAAAGCCUCAUCAUCAUUUCCAUACCUCUCCAACAACCUCUCACCUGCUCCACCAGCUCCACCAUCCACAACGGAAGCCCAAUUAUCUUGCUCAAACCGCCCAUCCUCUUCCUCCUCCUCCUCAUCAUCAUCAUUACCCUCCUGUCUAUCCCUAAACCCACCAAGCCCACGCCUCGGCUUCUUAGGCUGCGGCCGCUCCCUCGGCCCCAACUGAUUCUUAGGACACUCAUAAGACAAAUGACCAUGUUCCCCACACUCAAAACACAGACCAGUCUCCGAAUUAUACACGCGCUUCUUAAUAAACUCCGGCGCGCGUCCAUUAUCAGCCGCAAUCGACGCCGUCAAAGUCCGUCCAUUCAAAAUCUUCUUAUUCAUUUCCGUCACAGCGCGUUGCGCAUCCUGACGCAAAACAAAUUGAAUAAACGCAACACCGCGGCUAAGGCGCGUGUGACGGUCUUUAAGAACCGUUACACGCGCGAUUCGACCGAAAGUCGAAAAGAGAGUAUGGAGAUCGGAGUUUGUUAAGGAGUAAUCUAGAUUUGAAACGUAUAGUGUUGAUUUUGAUGGUGCUAAGGAUUCACCUGUUGUUGAUAUAAUUGACGAUGCUUUGUUGUUUGAUUUUGAUUGGANNNNNNNNNNNNNNNNNNNNNNNNNNNNNNNNNNNNNNNNGGAUGUGGCGGUGGCGGUGGGGUAGCGGUAGUAGAAAACGUCGUCGUCUUCAUCGCUAUCGUUGUUUUUGCGUUUGUGUUUCUUCUUGGCUGACAUUUUUUUUCUCUUCUGUAUUAUUUACUUCCGGUAACGUCGCUCCGUUUCCGGCGACGAGGUAUUAUUACAAUUGGAGGGAGAGAGAAUGUGUGUGAAUGAAUUUGAGAAACCCUAGAGACAGAGUAGUGAAAGAGAAUGGGGACGAAAGUUCAAUUAGUUACAUUUUAUUGAUUAGUUUACGAGCUUGUUUGAUAAAAUUGUCUGAUAACAGUUUUAAAAUUGUCUGAUAAAAAUAAAUUAUAAUAACUACCACUAACACUUACCAAAAAAAAAAUAUAGAUUGGAAGGUAUGUUAUUUUAAAUUUAUAAUAACUAAAUUUGUCAAACACUUUAAUUUUAUUCUACUAACUUUUCAGCUAUAAGCUACUAGUUAUAAGUUAGUUUUUCAGCUACAAGCUAGCUUAUCAGCUAUCAGCUAGGUUAUAGCUUAUUUUUACCAAAACAAAACUUGCGCAUACCGUUAUUUUUUAUUAAAAAAUAUUAUAAGAAAUCUAAAAUUUGCUUUAAAUAAAAACUAUUUUUAGUAAUUUCUUUGAAAGAUUAUUUUCUAUAGUUAAUUUUUUAAAAAGGUGAUUUUUUUUUUCAAAAAUCAUAGCUCAACUAGCAGAAAUGUUGAAAUUGCUAGUAUUGGAUGUCGUGACCGGAGUUCGAACCUCGGUCACUCCACUUUGUGUGUGUGAGUUUUCAAUGAUUUUAUCAUUUCGUCUAUCAACAAAAAAAAAUAUUAAUUUUUUUUGUCAAGUAAUUUAGUGGUUAGAGUUUUGUAAUAAAUAAAUUUUUAGGGUUCGAAUCUUGCACCCUGCAUAUAUAUAAUACAAUGUUCUUGUAAACUUGUUAAACUAACAAUGUAAGCAUAUAGCAGAAAAAAAGGAUGAUUUCUAUUACAAUAAAAAAUAUAUAUUUACAAUUUAUAAAAAUCACUACUCUCACCAAUUCUAAAUGAGUAUAAGUAAAAAAUGAAAUGUAUUAAACCAAAAAAAAAAAUUUAUUUAGGUUAGACUACUACACCAAAUACAUUUGACUUUUACUUAAGGUUGUUGAAGGAUGUGGAUGAGUAAAAAACAUAGAUUGGAAGGUAUGUUUUAAUAUGUAUCAAAUUGGCCCUUAAUACAAGUGAUUUUGUGUAGAAUUUCUUUGUGACUUUUUCGUAUUGCAUCUCUCAAAUUUUGCAAAUAUACAUUCGAGUCCUAAAAUUCAAACAUGUAUUUUUUUUUGGUAGAAAAAAGAGGUGCAACAACACAAGGACUUCCCAGGAGGUCACCCAUCCUAGUUAUAGUAUCUAACCGUCUCCAUACUCAUAUGGAAUUUUAAGAUUUUACGGUUUAAAUUCUUUUUUUGAAAACUUGAUAUCCGGCCUUAAGACCGACUAAUCCAAGGGGACCAAUCCUACCGCCCACUUGCGGGGGCCCCAUUUAAAGCCAGAGUUUUUUUUUGCUCUGUAUGGACUUAGCCCACCGAAAUUGGCACUAGUGAGAAUCGAACCUGAGACCUUGAGAGGAGCAUACUCCAAGGGCCCAAGUCAACACCACUCGACCAACCCCAAGUGGGUUUUUUACGGUUUAAAUUCAAUCUCCGAUCCAAUUUUUAAAACCUUAAUUUGACAUUAAAAUAUGCACUAAUAUAGAAUCAAGUUUGAAACACAACCUACAAUCUUACAUAUCAUCCAUGUUGUUUCAUUUCUUGUUUAUUAGAUAUAAGUAUAUUAGUUACAUUAAUGUAAGAAAAUCCAAUCACUAUUGCCCUUAUGCACCAAUACAAUCUAAAGGAGUUGUGAUCCUCUUACGAUCCCUAUGAAAGUUCAAAAAGGAGAGAGAAAGACACGAUGAAUAAAAUAAUAGUAUUUCAUUCGCAAUGUCAAACUCUGUCCUAGUAGAGCUUUUCAGUGACAGGAGAGGAUCCACCCCAAAACUAAAGAGGUGGAUACAAAAACUACAUCGGCAUAGUAGUAACAGUAGAAAAAAUACAAAGAGAGAUUUGUUGCAGAAUCUCAGACAAAGGCGGUGCCAAAAAUGACUGAGAUAUUCAUGACUCAGAAUGAAAAGUCUCUUCUUCCUCAUUAUAAUGUCUCCGUUGACCUGAGCUUAUUUUACACAUGUAUCCAAACACAUACAGAAACAUUUAUUGCAUCUGAAUUGAUGCUUCCUUUUUGCGCAAGGCAUCUACCUGACCUCAUACUGUUUGUUCAACUUGUUCUUGUUUAUCGGCUUGUUGGCUUCU